ACGAUACGCGAAGAACCUUACCUGGCCUUGACAUACUAAAAAGCUUUAAGAGAUUAGAGUGUGCUAGCUUGCUAGAAUUUAGAUACAGGUGCUGCACGGCUGUCGUCAGCUCGUGUCGUGAGAUGUGGGUUAAGUCCCGCAACGAGCGCAACCUCGUGUUUAGUUGCUAACAGUUCGGCUGAGAACUCUAAACAGACUGCCUACGCAAGUAGGAGGAAGGUGAGGACGACGUCAAGUCAUCAUGGCCCUUACGGCCAGGGCUACACACGUGCUACAAUGGGGUAUACAAAGAGCAGCGAUACGGUGACGUGGAGCAAAUCUAGAAAAUGCCUCUCAGUUCGGAUUGUAGUCUGCAACUCGACUACAUGAAGUUGGAAUCGCUAGUAAUCGUAGAUCAGCAAUGCUACGGUGAAUACGUUCCCGGGUCUU
rnacentral:rRNA from 1 species